CGGGGUGCAGCAGGCGCGAAAACUUUACAAUGCGGGAAACCGUGAUAAGGGGACACCGAGUGUCAGCAUCAUAUGCUGGCUGUCCAGGUGUGUAAAAUACACCUGUUAGCAAGGGCCGGGCAAGACCGGUGCCAGCCGCCGCGGUAACACCGGCGGCCCGAGUGGUGAUCGUGAUUAUUGGGUCUAAAGGGUCCGUAGCCGGUUUGGUCAGUCCUCCGGGAAAUCUGAUAGCUCAACUAUUAGGCUAUCGGGGGAUACUACCAGACUUGGAACCGGGAGAGGUAAGAGGUACUACAGGGGUAGGAGUGAAAUCUUGUAAUCCCUGUGGGACCACCUGUGGCGAAGGCGUCUUACCAGAACGGGUUCGACGGUGAGGGACGAAAGCUGGGGGCACGAACCGGAUUAGAUACCCGGGUAGUCCCAGCCGUAAACGAUGCUCGCUAGGUGUCAGGCAUGGCGCGACCGUGUCUGGUGCCGCAGGGAAGCCGUGAAGCGAGCCACCUGGGAAGUACGGCCGCAAGGCUGAAACUUAAAGGAAUUGGCGGGGGAGCACAAGGGCGAUUCGCG
rnacentral:rRNA from 1 species